UCGGACACUUUUCUAACCGGCAUGCAUCUCGCGGUGGUCACCGGUGAUUGGUUCAGCGCAGAUUUUGCUCAUCUCAAAAGAGCCUCAUUACAAAUUUUCUGUCUUUGUGACUGUGAGCAAUAUUUGGCGCGUUUUGAAAAGCUACCGUUAUUCUCGCAUCGCCCUCAUGACGUUACCACUAGUUUCAUUCACUCAGCGCGUGUUUGCUGUGUCUUCUGAGGCUCAGUUUUCCUAUAAAUGCCAGAAUAUUCUCAUCAGCCUACAAGUGAAGACAGAGUUUACUGAAGGACAGUGAGCACAUGACAGAUCCAGAACCCUGCAGAAUGAAACACACUGAAAAACAAACAGGUGAACUCUCUCAGGAGGAGUUUAUGGAGGGCAUUCAGGCCGACGAGGUUCUGUUGAAGAUGUUGACUGACUCGUAUCGUCAAAAUAAUCUACAGCGAGAUCAACUCUGAGCAGCAGCUGCACUGAUCCCAGACCAGCUGAUGAUGAUGAAGAUGAUGGCUGUUGUGCAGGUUCUGCAGCAGGUCAAAUCGCAGCUAGUUUCUCCUGGUGUAUUUCUCAUCUUAGAAGCUGAAAUUUACCAUUGAGUGAGGACGUUUAAAUCCUCAACACAUCAGAAAUAUCCAGUAUUUACCGUGUUUUACUGUGUUACUCUCAGCUGGACUGAAAAUCUUAAUGUAAUCUCACAGAAUAACAUUAGUGAUGGAAACUAGAGCAAACCCUGUUUAUUCAAGUGCACUUAUACACACUAAAACCUUGAAUCAUUCCUGUAAAAUACAUUCUUCAGUCCUGUGAUGUGUGUGUAUGUGUGUAUAUAUAUAUAUAAGGGGAAUAAUGUUAUUUAUGUAAAAAAUGCAGUAUUAUAUUAUGUAGAGGACAUUUAUAACGUUAUUGUCAUUUCACACUUGGAUUCUCUUUUGAAAAUAAAACAUGA